rnacentral:rRNA from 1 species
GUCUACAGCCAUGCCACCCUGAACAAGCCUGAUCCCGACUGAUCUCGAAAGCUAAGCAGGGUUGGGCCUGGUUAGUAUAUGGAUGAGAGACCAUCUAGGAAGAUCAGGUGCUGUAGGCG